rnacentral:rRNA from 1 species
AACGCGAAGAACCUUACCUGGGCUCGAACGGCUGGUCAACGAUCGUGGAAACACGGUUACUCCGCAAGGGGGUCCAGUCGAGGUGCUGCAUGGCUGUCGUCAGCUCGUGUCGUGAGAUGUUGGGUUAAGUCCCGCAACGAGCGCAACCCUCGUCCUGUGUUGCCAUCAUUCAGUUGGGAACUCGCAGGAGACCGCCAGCGAUAAGCUGGAGGAAGGUGGGGAUGACGUCAAGUCCUCAUGGCCUUUAUGUCCAGGGCUACACACGUGCUACAAUGGCCGGUACAAUGCGCUGCUAAGUCGCAAGACGGAGCCAAUCGCAAAAAACCGGUCUCAGUUCGGAUUGCAGGCUGCAACUCGCCUGCAUGAAGCUGGAAUCGCUAGUAAUGGCAUAUCAGAACGAUGCCGUGAAUACGUUCCCGGGCCUUGUA